rnacentral:misc_RNA from 1 species
GAUGAAGAACGCAGCGAAAUGCGAUAAGUAAUGUGAAUUGCAGAAUUCAGUGAAUCAUCGAAUCUUUGAACGCACAUUGCGCCCUCUGGUAUUCCGGGGGGCAUGACUGUUCGAGCGUCAUUAUAACCACUCAAGCUCUCGCUUGGUAUUGGAGUUCGCGAUCUCGCGGCUCCUAAAAUCAGUGGCGGUGCCUGUCGGCUCUACGCGUAGUAAUACUCCUCGCGAUUGAGUCCGGUAGGUUUACUUGCCAGCAACCCCCAAUUUUUACAGGUUGACCUCGGAUCAGGUAGGGAUACCCGCUGAACUUAAGCAUAUCAAUAAGCGGAGGA